CGCUAAAUGAAUUAAUAUGUUUUCUUAUUUUUAGAUGAAAAAAAAUGUAUCAUUUGAAGUCUGAAAGGGGCGUUUUCUCUUUAAAAAUGGUACCUGAUGUCUUUUCGUCUGCCUCUAAAAUACCUCAUAAGACACAGAAAAAGAACAAAAUUGACAACAGCAACAGAAACCAAGAUGGACAGUAACUCAAUUGUCAGAGAAAUUUUAUCAACUAGGUUUAAGACCCCUGGAGCUAGCCUGGAUGUGAGCAAGCAAUGAACAGAUUCUGGUUGAGGGACAACCUACAGAAUGAAAGCCCUCUGCUACUCAAACUGUCAACCUCAGCAAGCUAGGGUAGGACUGAAGAAAUGUUCCAGAGUGAAGGAGAGUUAAGAGACACCAUGACAAGGGCUGGGAUUGUGGCUCAGCAGUAAUAGCGCUCAUCUAGCACGUGCAAGGCCCUGGGUUCGAUCCUCAGCA
rnacentral:lncRNA from 1 species